UACGUAGGCAGCAAGCGUUGUUCGGAGUUACUGGGCGUAAAGGGUGCGUAGGCGGCUUUUUAAGUUUGGUGUGAAAUCUCCCGGCUCAACUGGGAGGGUGCGCCGAAUACUGAGAGGCUAGAGUGUGGGAGAGGAAAGUGGAAUUCCUGGUGUAGCGGUGAAAUGCGUAGAUAUCAGGAGGAACACCGGUGGCGAAGGCGGGUCUCUGGGCCGUAACUGACGCUGAGGAGCGAAAGCGUGGGGAGCGAACAGG
rnacentral:rRNA from 1 species